rnacentral:rRNA from 1 species
CGGCGCAUUAGCUAGUUGGUGGGGUAAUGGCUCACCAAGGCGACGAUGCGUAGCCGACCUGAGAGGGUGAUCGGCCACACUGGGACUGAGACACGGCCCAGACUCCUACGGGAGGCAGCAGUAGGGAAUCUUCCGCAAUGGACGAAAGUCUGACGGAGCAACGCCGCGUGAGUGAUGAAGGUUUUCGGAUCGUAAAGCUCUGUUGUUAGGGAAGAACAAGUGCGAGAGUAACUGCUCGCACCUUGACGGUACCUAACCAGAAAGCCACGGCUAACUACGUGCCAGCAGCCGCGGUAAUACGUAGGUGGCAAGCGUUGUCCGGAAUUAUUGGGCGUAAAGGGCUCGCAGGCGGUUUCUUAAGUCUGAUGUGAAAGCCCCCGGCUCAACCGGGGAGGGUCAUUGGAAACUGGGAAACUUGAGUGCAGAAGAGGAGAGUGGAAUUCCACGUGUAGCGGUGAAAUGCGUAGAGAUGUGGAGGAACACCAGUGGCGAAGGCGACUCUCUGGUCUGUAACUGACGCUGAGGAGCGAAAGCGUGGGGAGCGAACAGGAUUAGAUACCCUGGUAGUCCACGCCGUAAACGAUGAGUGCUAAGUGUUAGGGGGUUUCCGCCCCUUAGUGCUGCAGCUAACGCAUUAAGCACUCCGCCUGGGGAGUACGGUCGCAAGACUGAAACUCAAAGGAAUUGACGGGGGCCCGCACAAGCGGUGGAGCAUGUGGUUUAAUUCGAAGCAACGCGAAGAACCUUACCAGGUCUUGACAUCCUCUGACAACCCUAGAGAUAGGGCUUUCCCUUCGGGGACAGAGUGACAGGUGGUGCAUGGUUGUCGUCAGCUCGUGUCGUGAGAUGUUGGGUUAAGUCCCGCAACGAGCGCAACCCUUGAUCUUAGUUGCCAGCAUUCAGUUGGGCACUCUAAGGUGACUGCCGGUGACAAACCGGAGGAAGGUGGGGAUGACGUCAAAUCAUCAUGCCCCUUAUGACCUGGGCUACACACGUGCUACAAUGGACAGAACAAAGGGCUGCAAGACCGCAAGGUUUAGCCAAUCCCAUAAAUCUGUUCUCAGUUCGGAUCGCAGUCUGCAACUCGACUGCGUGAAGCUGGAAUCGCUAG